rnacentral:lncRNA from 1 species
GCCGCUCUAGGCCAACCCUCGAAGGCCGAGGUCCUCCGACGUUGACGUGCUCCGCCCCAGCGGUGCGUUUGCCGGGUGGCGCGUGCGCGUCUUGCUCCGCUGCGGGCGGUUAACGGUCGCGCUCGCGCCGCUCUUCCCUCUCUCCCUCCCCCUCCCCCCCCUCAGCCUCUGCUCGCGCGGGGCUGCCGGGGUUCGGUGCCUUCGAGAAGUUUCCCUCGCUCAGGGCUGAGGUGACCGUUAGGGAGUCUCGACAGCCCCCAUGCACCUGCCGCGUCAGCCUUCCACGGGAGUCUCGUUUCCUUAAGAAAUCGGAAUUCAGCCACGAUUCAUCCUUAGGAGGAGCCAAGUCCAAACUCCAAAGACCGGGAGCUGACUUAAAGUUCUUUACUGGAGUCUGCAUGCUUUGUAAAAGACUGUGCAGAAUCAGCUGUAUUUCCAGAAGCAGCAAAGGACAAAGUGAAUUUUUAGUUACAGUCUACAUAACAGAAUUUUUGUAGGUGACAUAACAUGAUCACAAAAUAACUUAAAACUAUGUUUACAGUGUGCACUCAAAACAUAUUCCUGUGUUGAUGAUACAUUUGGAAAAUGAAUAGAAUUUAGAUCACUUUCUUUUUGAAGCACUUACUCCUAAAGUGCUUUGACAAAUUCAUUUGACUAAAUGAUAUAAUACAGAUGCAAGGAGGCAAUGCAAGACUUCUUCAGAUGAUUUUAC